UACAGAGGUGGCAAGCGUUGUUCGGAAUUACUGGGCGUAAAGGGCGCGUAGGCGGCCAUCUAAGUCAGACGUGAAAUCCCUGGGCUCAACCCAGGAACUGCGUCCGAUACUGGUUGGCUUGAAUCCGGGAGAGGGAUGUGGAAUUCCAGGUGUAGCGGUGAAAUGCGUAGAUAUCUGGAGGAACACCGGUGGCGAAGGCGACACCCUGGACCGUUACUGACGCUGAGGCGCGAAAGCCAGGGGAGCAAACGGG
rnacentral:rRNA from 1 species